rnacentral:rRNA from 1 species
AGCGAACGCUGGCGGCAGGCCUAACACAUGCAAGUCGAACGAACUCUUCGGAGUUAGUGGCGGACGGGUGAGUAACACGUGGGAACGUGCCUUUUGGUUCGGAAUAACUCAGGGAAACUUGUGCUAAUACCGAAUGUGCCUUUCGGGGGAAAGAUUUAUCGCCAUUAGAGCGGCCCGCGUCUGAUUAGCUAGUUGGUGAGGUAACGGCUCACCAAGGCGACGAUCAGUAGCUGGUCUGAGAGGAUGACCAGCCACACUGGGACUGAGACACGGCCCAGACUCCUACGGGAGGCAGCAGUGGGGAAUCUUGCGCAAUGGGCGAAAGCCUGACGCAGCCAUGCCGCGUGAAUGAUGAAGGUCUUAGGAUUGUAAAAUUCUUUCACCGGGGACGAUAAUGACGGUACCCGGAGAAGAAGCCCCGGCUAACUUCGUG